UGACUACAGAAACAAGCCGACCAAAAAUUUUUUUGACACAAAAUUGUAAUCAAAUAUAAAUCCUUGAUAAUUAUAUUCAUUUGCAAAAUAUUUGACAGGACAUUAACAAAUUGGUCGAAACAGGGAAAUUUUAUUUUCUGAAUAUGCCCAUAACUAUAUAUUCUCCCAAACCCGCAAAUUUUCUUUGAAACAACGGAAUCGUGCUCUAUUAUUUAGGAUCGUAAAAAUUUAAAAUUCAACGUCAAGACGACAAUACCUAGAUCAUUGACACCACCAGUCCUAAAUCCCAGUAUAUAAGUAAGUAGUAUAUAAAAAAACACUAACUUGGUGUAAAUCUUAUCACAAAUCAAAGCAAAAUCAUGGUUAGAGGACUUUUAUCCUUUUUGGUUGGAGUAUAUGCAGGAAUAUAUGUAAGCCAAAAUUAUGAUAUUCCUAGAGUUGAUGAUCCAAAAGCUUUAUAUGAGAAGAUUAAAGACUUUGCAGACAAGCAUAGAAAACAAUAAAUACCUUCUUAUAUUUAAAAGUUUUAUUAGUACAAUAUUUUAAUAUAAAUAAAAAAAAAAUACAAA